rnacentral:misc_RNA from 1 species
GAUGAAGAACGCAGCGAAAUGCGAUAAGUAAUGUGAAUUGCAGAAUUCAGUGAAUCAUCGAAUCUUUGAACGCACAUUGCGCCCCUUGGUAUUCCGAGGGGCAUGCCUGUUCGAGCGUCAUUAUAACCCCUCAAGCUCAGCUUGGUGUUGGGGCCUGCUGCACUGGCAGCCCUUAAAAUCAGUGGCGGGGCCAUCUGGCUCUAAGCGUAGUAAUUCUUCUCGCUAUGGAGUCCUGGUGGAUGCUUGCCAUCAACCCCCAAUUUUUCUAUGGUUGACCUCGGAUCAGGUAGGGAUACCCGCUGAACUUAAGCAUAUCAAUAAGCGGAGGA